rnacentral:rRNA from 1 species
AUUGAACGCUGGCGGCAGGCCUAACACAUGCAAGUCGAGCGCGCGGCGGACGGGUGAGUAAUGUCUGUGAAACUGCCCGAUGGAGGGGGAUAACUACUGGAAACGGUAGCUAAUACCGCAUACCAUCAGAUGUGCCCAGAUGGGAUUAGCUGGUAGGUGGGGUAACGGCUCACCUAGGCGACGAUCCCUAGCUGGUCUGAGAGGAUGACCAGCCACACUGGAACUGAGACACGGCCCAGACUCCUACGGGAGGCAGCAGUGGGGAAUAUUGCACAAUGGGCGCAAGCCUGAUGCAGCCAUGCCGCGUGUAUGAAGAAGGCCUUAGGGUUGUAAAGCACUUUCAGCGGGGAGGCGUUACCCGCAGAAGAAGCACCGGCUAACUCCGUGCCAGCAGCCGCGGUAAUAC